AACGAACGCUGGCGGCAGGCCUAACACAUGCAAGUCGAACGCCGUAGCAAUACGGAGUGGCAGACGGGUGAGUAACGCGUGGGAACCUUCCCUAUGGUUCGGAAUAGCUCAGGGAAACCUGGGGUAAUACCGGAUAAGCCCUUCGGGGGAAAGAUUUAUCGCCAUUGGAUGGGCCCGCGUCGGAUUAGCUAGUUGGUGGGGUAACGGCCUACCAAGGCGACGAUCCGUAGCUGGACUGAGAGGAUGAUCAGCCACACUGGGACUGAGACACGGCCCAGACUCCUACGGGGGGCAGCAGUGGGGAAUAUUGGACAAUGGGCGAAAGCCUGAUCCAGCCAUGCCGCGUGAGUGACGAAGGCCUUAGGGUUGUAAAGCUCUUUUGGCGGUGAAGAUAAUGACGGUACCCGCAGAAUAAGCUCCGGCUAACUUCGUGCCAGCAGCCGCCGUAA
rnacentral:rRNA from 1 species